UAACAAGCAACAACAGUAGCCUGAAAUUUGAUAAACCCAGAUCACUUCUAAAACAAUUUUUAAGGAAAAAAAAUAAUAUUUGCACAUGGCAAAAAAUUCAAACAGUACAAUGAGAUGUCAUUCUUUUUCCCAUAUCAUCCUGCAUUCAUCCUUCUCAGAGGCAACUACUGUUAGCAAUUUCUUAAACAUCCAACCAGAAAACUUUCUCUGUGUGUACUAACACAUACACGCAAACACGUACCGCUGCUCAAAAUAGGUGCUUUCUUAACCAAACCUCCACUUAGCUGACUCAUAAGAUUAACCAACACUCUUCAUUCUCUCUGUUUAGCACGCAGUGAAUACUUACAGCAUCCACAUGUCUGCUUCCACCAGGACCCAGGACUUCUCCAUGAAGACUUUCUAGACUUGUCUAUUCAAAGCCAACAGUGAACUUCUCCUGAAAAAGGGUUAUAUCAAUUUUAACUUUGUAUCCAAAGCAUGAGAACAAUGUGCUCCUGGAACAUAGUUUCUUCUGAGAUUUGUUGAUGAAUAAAGGAAAAGAAAUAACUGGAUAGGAAAGCUGUUCAUUUGUUUACCUUGUCAUCUUAACAGUCUGUUCAAAUAAUUUUGCCCAAUAUUUUUCAUUAUAUAACAACUAACCCUUAAGGACGUCUCCCAAGCCCAAACUAUCUCAAAAUAAUUAAAAUCGCAAUUGAAUUUAGGGAUGAGCUUAGUAUAGAAAUAGCCGCAGUAGUUGUUUCUAUUUGCUUGAACUCCACAAUGAGCUGUUUCAUGCUUCUUCACAUUUGAGAUAAUACUUCAAAUUUAUACCCACAAUGAAAUAAAGGCUUAAAAAUAA